GGGGGUGAAUUUGGUUUCGACGGAGGUAAUUGCGGUAUAGGUUGCAUGUCGAGGUCUCCGCAGGCCUCGUAAAAUAGGCGGAACAAUUAUAAUUGCUGAUCAAGAAUUAGCAUUAGCUGCUUAAGCAGCUACGCUUUACUGACCUGCCGCCCGUCAGGGAGGCUAAAGCGUCACAAUACGGGCUAGCGGUAUGAUUGUUCUCAAGGGACAUUCCGUGAAUCAUAACUUGAGAUAGCCAUUUAUGACUCCUGCACAGGGGAUUCUGGAUGGCGAAACUUCAAACCUGUGAUAAGCAUGUAGUAGCCUCUAUCAAAAUGCUUUCGGACGCGGGUUCAAUUCCCGCCACCUCCAUCA
rnacentral:tmRNA from 1 species